UCCCCGUUAAUGGAAAGUAACCCUGCAAGGCUUCAAAAUAUCCUGCAGUUUGGCAAAAAAGUGAUAUAAUGAAAAAUGAACCUGCAAAAACUGUUCUUCAUCUUCUAUAGGAUUUCCAGCAUUGCAAUGUAACAAUAACAAUUAAAAAACACUUGGGAAAGAAAAAAGAGUCCCGCUAAGGUGAGGCCUGUCAGUGCCUUGAGCAAAAAAAAUCCUCAUAUGACAAUAGAGAAACAUCCUUCUUUUCCUUUACACUUGUAAAUUUGCUUUUGCAAAGUGACCUUUAUGACAUUUUGGGCAUUCUUUCUUGUCCACAGAUGAUUAAUGUCAGGAAAAACACUCCAAAUCUUCCACAGAUCACAUAGAUCUACAGUGAGAGCAGCAGGUUUAUUUUGCUGUACUGAUUCUGCUUGUCAUGUUUGUGAUGCCUCAGAGGUCUGAGGGGGUUUCUGUCUGUGUGUGGAGGCAUGGUAAGCAGUGACCAGUCUCAUGAGUGACAGGUGAGAGUUAGGCACAGCCAUCUGAGUUCAAAAAGCUGGAAGCCACAACCCGCCUCUAGAGAGUGCCAGUCAACCUCCCUAGUCCAUGCAUCAUGUUAUACAACAUUCUGUGUGUGAUGGUGAGAAGGCACAGACCUGAUAACAACUAGGCAGAAAGACACAUGCUCUGCUUCUGUUCCUCAGUCACCCAUACAGAGCUCCAUGCAAGUUAUGUGACCACCCAGCUCUCAGGCUGUAGGAUGUGCCUAGCAUUACAACCUGAGAUGAAGGACAAGAGCAAGUAUAAAUGUGAGAUUCCAGAAUUCUUGGCUGCUAGAAGCAGAGGAAAAGUGGACCCAUGGCUCAUUUUGAAUGUAACUGAAAUAUAGAUUAAAAUGUU